rnacentral:lncRNA from 1 species
UUUUGAAACAAAGAACUUUCUGGUUUUCUUAUUAAUUCGAGGGUGAAUUGAAAGGUACAACUGAGAAGAGCUUAUAUAGGCUCUUUAGAAUUUGAAAUACAAUAAGAAGCAAUAACUAAGAAGAAAAAAAUCAAGAGAUAUGAGUCAAAGAGCUUGAUUGUAGGCGAUUUGAUGAAGAGCUCGAUUUUAGGAGUUGAAUGGCGUGUUCUUUGGAUGGCUGAUGGGCAGAGAGAUUCUCUGGCUUCUCUGGACGGCUGAGAUGAUCUGGGGUUGAGGAAUGGUCGUGAUUAAUCUUCAGAAAGUCGUGGUCUUUAAGAGAAAAGAGAUUAACAUUUCCGAAAAAGGAAAGUUAUCUUUUAAGUUUGAAUUCUUCUCCUUUGGUCAGAAACGUGUCUUGGUUCAUCUUGGGGGUGUAUGGGAAGUCUGGUGGGUCUCCUAACACGUGCUUGGUCUUUUUCUUUGGCGAGAAUGAGCUUGUUUCCUUAUUUAGUGCAAUAUUGGACCGUUUAAGGACAUGGCGGUCAAAUGGUGGAUCCGGGUCGAUCCAGCUCCGUUUCUCUUGGUUUUGGAUGCUCCAUUGGGUCUCCUGAUGGGUAAGAAUAUCUUCUGGGCCUGGACGUGCAUUAAUUAUGCUGAGAACACCUUUCUUGGGCCACAUCUUCUUAUCGGCUUUGCAUUUGAAUGGCUCGGGUAAUGGUUUAGCCGGGAAGCUUGUAUGAUCUAUUGGAUAGGAGUCUAGAGAGAACAAGUCAAUAACAGUCGUCUCCCCUUCGUUAUUGGCUUGCUCUACAAGGGAGUUCGUCUCUCCUUUACCUUUGGCUAGACUCACAUGUCCAUUGAUCUCAUGUGGUUCUUCUGGUUCAGCUUCGGUUAGGCCAAAUGCAAUGUCUCUGCGUCUUGAGCUUGCCAGGGGUCCGUCUUGUGGGGUUGAUGUCCUUAUCAUACCUCCCUCUUUAAGAUGUUUCGUCCUCGAAACUGGUUUUCCUGCACAACGAUAGAGUAAGUUAGUUUGAGCUUGACCAUGUGAGUUUAGAGUCUUACCUUUGGGUGAUCUUUGAGAUUGGCUAGGAGUUGAUGGGUAAGAUUCAUCUGUUGGCGCCUCCUUGAUCAGUAUAGAGUAGAUAACUUCAUUGGGGUGUGGUUGGACAGGUUGUUUUGUUGGUACAUCUCCUUGAAAGCCUACAUCUCCUCUUGUUGUCGUGUGCACUAAGUUUGAAGUGGUGUGUUUCAAGCUUGCUUUAUAACCUGUGAAAGACACUUUUGGCAUAGAGAAGUGCAUCAUAUCUGUGUAAUCAGGUGGUAAAUGUUCUUUUUCAGCAAAGAAACUUACCUUAGUGGCUGCAUUAGCCUUUUCUCUUACUUGCAUAACAUGCACCUCGGCUUGAUCUAAAGGUGUUAGUGUGAACUUGCAGUUGUUGAGGCUGAAUGAGUACUGGUUUGUGCGACCAUCAUGGGAGGUAUUGCGGUCAUAUUGCCAUGGUCUCCCAAGUAAGAUAUGCCCGGCGUGCAUUGGUGCGACAUCACAAGUAAUCUGAUCUUGGUAUUGGCCGAUGGAGAAAGGAAUCUCCACUUGUUUGGUCACCUUUAGCUCAUCAUUGUCAUUGAGCCACUUGAGCUUGUAUGGUCUAGGAUGUUUUGAUGUUUGUAAUCUUAAUUUCUCAACCAAAACAGAGCUAGCAAUGUUAGUACAAGAGCCACUAUCUAUGAUUAAGUGACAUACCUUGUCUUGAAUGGUGCAUCGAGAAUGAAAUAAAUUCUCUCUCUGAGCUGGUUCCUCACGGUAUGGCUGAGCUGAGAGUGCUCUUUGAACUACUAGUAGAUCUCCUUCAUCAGGUAAAAUGGUGAUGUCUUUGUUCGGAUCAUCUAGAUCUUCUUCAUCUUGUGAAUCAUAUCCAUUUGGUGUGAUGAUCAUGAUGCGCCUGUUUGGACAGUCUCUAGCCAUGUGUCCCCUGCCUUAACAUUUAAAACAGGUCAGUUCAUGAGUCCUUUGAUGACCAGAAGAAGACUUACCUUGCUCAAACCGAUUGUCUUUUGGUUUGUCAUAGGUUUUGUCUUUGAACUUUGACUCGAUGACAACUGAUUUCCCUUUGUCGAUGACUUGUGGUGGCUGUUGUUGAGUUGUCUGAGUGCUGCUACGGUUCCUCUCUGUGUUAGACACCUUUUUGUUGAUCUGGUUCUCUAUUUGGACAGCUAAGUGUAGCAACUCCUCGAGAUCAUGGUAAGGCCGCCUCUCUACUUUCGUUGCAAUGCGAUCUUGCAAGCCAUCUAUGAAUUGGGCCAUCAAUGAUUCUUCAGUAUCAGUCAACUCCAGCUUGUUCUUAAGGGCCUCAAACUCUUCAUAAUAGUCUUCCACAGAUCUCUGGCCUUGGAAGAAAGAUCUGCAUCAUUUCUGAAUCUCUCGGUGAUAGUGUGGUGGCACAUAUCUCUUGCGGAGAUAAAACUUCAUGUCUCUCCAAUAGGUGAUUUGGCUAAGUUGUGUCUUCUUCUCUCAGCUACUUCUCUAUCCCACCACGUCAAAGCAUGGUCAGUGAGACUAGCUGCUGCCAGUGCUAGCUUCUUUGGCUCAUUAUAACCGUAGUAAUCGAAGAUGUGCUCCAUUCUUCUUUCCCACUCCAAGUAUGCAUCAGGGUCCACUUUUCCAGCAAAGGUAGGUGGUGUGAGCUUAAUGUCAUUGGCGGUUCUGUUGGUAUCUUCAUCUCUGAUCCUGUUGCGGUGGAUGGGGUCAUGUCUUUGUUGUUGUUGUAGUAAUGGAUCGGGUGGCACAUUAUCUGGUACAUGUUCCCUUCGGUCUUGAUUGUUUUGAACUCCAUUUGCUGCGGUUUGGGGAUCUCCAUUGUUGGGUGGUGCAGCUGUUUGUGGAUAGAGAUUUCUGAUGGCACCAAGGUGUGGCUUUUGCUCAAUACGAUCCAUACGACCUCCUAGAGAUUUCUGAUGGCACCAAGUAGUCUCCAUUGUGGUCAUACCAGUUUUCACUGUUCUGAUGUCAUCUUUCAUUGCAUUCAUGUCUUCUCUCAUGGCUUGGAGAAGCUGCAUCAUAGCGUCUUGCUGGUUAUUUUCAGUCAUGUUUCACCUGCCAAAUAUUUCAAUGAAAACUAGAUCAAAGUUUUAAUCAAAGCAAAGCAAAAUAAAAAUCGUAAAUUUUUGUUUUUUUUAUUUUUUACUAGAUGAUAAACAAAUAAAACUGAAAUUAGACAAUAUAAAUAUUUAUGGAUUUUCAGGGUUUAUGAGAAGCAAAAUAACAGGAACAGAAUAAUUUUUUUUUUUAUGAAUGAACAAGAAGCAAAAAAAACAAUGGUAAUAAAAUUUUCUUUGGUUUUCUUUCUUUUUUUUUGUAAAAAUCGAAACUAGAACAGAAUCAAAAGCAAAACAAAAUCAAAAGAAAAAGGAUAGAAAUCACCUAAUAGGAAAUUUGAGCUCUGAUACCAAAAUGAUAUAAGACUGAAUCACACAAUCUUUAUGGACACCAAGUAUUCAAACUCUAAAAGCUUUGAUGGAGGGAUGGAAGAAGGUUGUGAUGACAAUACACUUGUUUUAUGGACUAAAACAAAUGUAUCAACAGAAACUAACUCUAAGGGCUAUUCCUCACAAAGAGUUUAGUCUCCAAACACGAAAUCUAGAGAGACUGAUUCCACAAUCUACCUAGAACUCACAAAAACGAAUCAAGAACACAAGGUUUUUGAAUCAAAGAACAUUCUGGUUUUCUUAUUAAUUCGAGGGUGAACUGAAAGGUAAAACUGAGAAGAGCUUAUAUAGUCUCUUUAGAAUUCGAAAUACAAUAAGAAGCAAUAACUAAGAAGCAAAAAUCAAGAGAUAUGAGUCAAAGAGCUUGAUUGUAGGCGAUUUGAUGGGCAGAGAGAUUCUCUGGACGGCUGAGAUGAUCUGGGGUUGAGGAAUGGUCGUGAUUAAUCUUCAGAAAGUCGUGGUCUUUAAGAGAAAAGAGAUUAACAUUUCCGAAAAAGGAAAGUUCUCUUUUAAGUUUGAAUUCUUCUCCUUUGGUCAGAAAUGUGUCUUGGUUCAUCUUGGGGUGUAUGGGAAGUCUGGUGGGUCUCCUAACACGUGCUUGGUCUUUGUCUUUGGCGAGAAUGAGCUUGUUUCCUUAUUUAGUGGAAUAUUGGACCGUCUAAGGACAUGGCAGUCAAAUGGUGGAUCCGGGUCGAUCCAGCUCCGUUUCUCUUGGUUUUGGAUGCUCCAUUGGGUCUCCUGAUGGGUAAGAAUAUCUUCUGGGCCUGGACGUGCAUUGGUUAUGCUGAGAACACCUUUCUUGGGCCACAUCUUCUUAUCGACUUUGCAUUUGAAUGGCUCGGGUAAUGGUUUAGCCGGGAAGCUUGUAUGAUCUAUUGGAUAGGAGUCUAGAGAGAACAAGUCAAUAACAGUCGUCUCCCCUUCGUUAUUGGCUUGCUCUACAAGGGGAGUUCGUCUCUCCUUUACCCUUGGCUAGACUCACAUGUCCAUUGAUCUCAUGUGGUUCCUCUGGUUCAGCUUCGGUUAGGCCAAAUGCAAUGUCUCUGCGUCUUGAGC